rnacentral:lncRNA from 1 species
CGCGGCUUGCGGGCCCCGGCGGGCGCGGAGGGCGGGAGCGGAGGUGCGGGGCGGAGGAGGGAAGGCGGCGGGGCGUUCACGGCAGCCCGCGCCGCUAUAAAGGGGGCCGGGCGCGGCGGAGCGGCGCAUCCCUCUCGCCCGCAGCCACAGCGGCAGGAGCAGCACCAGCACCAGCAUCGCGCCGGGACAGCAGCAGAUGGGCAUGGGGACGGCGCUGGCGGCGCGGCUCGGCCUGGGGCUCCUGCUCCUUGCCCUCCUCCUUCCCACGCAGAUCUACUGUGGUCCCAAUGGAACAAGUCCAACACCUUCAAACAAUUCUUCAGCAAAUUCCACUUCUCUGUCAGCUGUCACAAAUUCACUGAACAAUACCACCACUCACGGACAUGGAAAUUCUCUUCACUCAACCACAAGUCUUUUUUUCAUUCUCUCAGUUUCUCUUCUGUAUUUUUGCUGUUAAGAGACUCUGGCAUGGAAAUGGCUACCACUCCCCACCCCGUUUCCUGAACCGCCCGAGAUGGCUAGACCUCCAACCCAGCAUGAGAAGAAAUCAAUCCAAACUCCACAUCAAACCAGCUUGGUUCCACUCCAUACUCAAAUUAGUACCAGUCUGACCUAGAGAAACACUCAGUAUUCUGACUUUCAAAGCUGACCGGUGUGAAAAGAUCAGCUUCAGCAAGGAGGUAAAAUUAUGAGCUCUUUCACCAAAUGAGUUGGAAUCCAAAAAACAAGAUGGAAACAAAAAGAGACAGUACUGACAAACCAAAUUUAAAGCUGAGAAGAAAUACAGUAUCUCAUAAUAAGGAUGGAUAAUAACACUCCACGAAGAAAAAAGGCUAGAGAGUUUAUCUACCAUUUAGAAUAAGGACUUCAAGAGUUUUUAUUUUUUGUUUAAGUUCGAAAACAUCAACAGGCUAAUAGAAUCCCUAGAAAACACAUAAAAGCUCAAAUAAUUCUGUUUCUUACACAGCCUGUAUAGUUAUAACUUGUGGGUAUUAGGAUGUAUGAAAAAGAAACAACAUCAGUGAAAAGGAUUUCUUCUAGAUUUCAUUUGUAUUAAAUUGUUACAAGGCUAAAAUAGAAUAACAAAUUUUUUGCAAGAAUCCUCUUAUUUAACCAAAUGGUUAGCCAGGCAGGGCUAGUUUUGAAAUAGCUAAAACCCCACCAGUUUUCAUAAGAGUGGAAUUCUUUAUGGUGGGAAUUUGAAUUUGACAUUUUAUUUAAAUUGUUUGUAUAUUAAACCAUAUGUGCCAGAGAAAGGAGGUGUGGAAACAUUAGAAAAAGUACCAGGAGCUUUUUGUAAAUGAAAUUCAGAAAGAACGAACAAACAAGCAAGUCAAUGGAUGUAUGUCUCCUAUUUCCUUUAUUUCUCCUCCCAAGUUGUAUAAGUUUUUUGCUCCUGGAACUUUCCUUAAUUAUGAAGGAUUUAUGAAAUCUUAUGAAUAAUGUUAUAGUGUUGC